rnacentral:rRNA from 1 species
AGGACGAACGCUGGCGGCGUGCUUAACACAUGCAAGUCGAGCGAGCCUUCGGGCGAGCGGCGAACGGGUGAGUAACACGUGGGCAACCUGCCCCAAGCUCUGGGAUAACCCCGGGAAACCGGGGCUAAUACCGGAUACGACCUUAGAAGACAUCUUCUUUGGUGGAAAGUUUUUCGGCUUGGGAUGGGCCCGCGGCCUAUCAGCUUGUUGGUGGGGUAACGGCCUACCAAGGCGACGACGGGUAGCCGGCCUGAGAGGGCGACCGGCCACACUGGGACUGAGACACGGCCCAGACACCUACGGGUGGCAGCAGUCGAGAAUUUUUCUCAAUGGGGGAAACCCUGAAGGAGCGACGCCGCGUGGAGGAUGAAGGUCUUCGGAUUGUAAACUCCUGUCAUUGGGGAACAAGUCGCUUACGUUAACUGCGUGAGCGUUGAUAGUACCCGAAGAGGAAGAGACGGCUAACUCUGUGCCAGCACGCCGC